UGCUGUGCGUGCGCGCUGCAUUGAGGCAGGUCGAUGUGGAUGUUUAAUCGUGUGUACGCUGUGCCGAGAGAAAAUGUCGUGCCCCUUGUGUGCUUUGAUGAUCACUUAGCCCCUGGGACCGCGUAACGUAGCUCGCAGUAUCUUCGUGUGGUUCGCCGAUGUCGAUUAUCGUACUUAUGGCCCGCUCGCGCUUUCUUUGUUCCCGGCUCAUGAAAAAGCCUCUGAUAAUAUCGCAUCGGAUCACAGUGCACGGAAGAAUUUGUUGAGGUAUUACGUGCUGUAGUUCAUCCGCAAUUCAACAGUGUUUACGUCGGAAGGAUCGUCGUGCAGUCGACGCCGGGACCUGACAUGAAGGAGCGUUUGCCGACUACGCCUAGAAAGGGAUGUCAAGAUUUCGUGAACCAGAGGCAUCUCUACACCGCAUAGGAACCUAAGACAUUUCUGCAGCCGGAACAGCACGGCAAAGCAUCUGAUCUGCAUGCUGCGACAAGGUAUGGCUGGGCCUGGAGAUGAAGUGUAAGCAGACCAUGCUAUGCUGCGGAUUGGUGCCAAUCUUCACAUCCGAGUUGUUCCCACGACAGUCAAGCACCACUGUGAUUUGCUUCAUUGGCAAGGUAAUAUAAUAUGGUGCCCUGCAAGCUCUCACCAAAGCAACACAUUCCACUGGUUUUCUGUCAGAGUACCAUUAGGAUUUCGAAUAAACUAUGCUUGUCAGAUGUGCGACAUGCCCCGUCUUAAAAUUGGAGCGCUUCAGUAUUAAUGUUUGAAUGGGUGUACAUAAAAACAUACGUAAAGUAUA